AUUGAACGCUGGCGGAAUGCUUUACACAUGCAAGUCGAACGGCAGCACGGACUUCGGUCUGGUGGCGAGUGGCGAACGGGUGAGUAAUGCAUCGGAACGUGCCCAGUCGCGGGGGAUAACGUAGUGAAAAUUACGCUAAUACCGCAUACGAUCUAUGGAUGAAAGCGGGGGAUCGCAAGACCUCGCGCGAUUGGAGGGGCCGAUAUCAGAUUAGGUAGUUGGUGGGGUAAAGGCCCACCAAGCCAACGAUCUGUAGCUGGUCUGAGAGGACGACCAGCCACACUGGAACUGAGACACGGUCCAGACUCCUACGGGAGGCAGCAGUGGGGAAUUUUGGACAAUGGGCGAAAGCCUGAUCCAGCCAUUCCGCGUGCAGGAUGAAGGCCCUCGGGUUGUAAACUGCUUUUGUACAGAACGAAAAGGUUUCUACUAAUACUAGGAGCUCAUGACGGUACUGUAAGAAUAAGCACCGGCUAACUACGUGCCAGCAGCCGCCGUAA
rnacentral:rRNA from 1 species